UGCAGUCGAGCGGAUGAAGGGAGCUUGCUCCUGGAUUCAGCGGCGGACGGGUGAGUAAUGCCUAGGAAUCUGCCUGGUAGUGGGGGAUAACGUCCGGAAACGGGCGCUAAUACCGCAUACGUCCUGAGGGAGAAAGUGGGGGAUCUUCGGACCUCACGCUAUCAGAUGAGCCUAGGUCGGAUUAGCUAGUUGGUGGGGUAAAGGCCUACCAAGGCGACGAUCCGUAACUGGUCUGAGAGGAUGAUCAGGCACACUGGAACUGAGACACGGACCAGACUCCUACGGGAGGCAGCAGUGGGGAAUAUUGGACAAUGGGCGAAAGCCUGAUCCAGCCAUGCCGCGUGUGUGAAGAAGGUCUUCGGAUUGUAAAGCACUUUAAGUUGGGAGGAAGGGCAGUAAGUUAAUACCUUGCUGUUUUGACGUUACCAACAGAAUAAGCACCGGCUAACUUCGUGCCAGCAGCCGCGGUAAUACGAAGGGUGCAAGCGUUAAUCGGAAUUACUGGGCGUAAAGCGCGCGUAGGUGGUUCAGCAAGUUGGAUGUGAAAUCCCCGGGCUCAACCUGGGAACUGCAUCCAAAACUACUGAGCUAGAGUACGGUAGAGGGUGGUGGAAUUUCCUGUGUAGCGGUGAAAUGCGUAGAUAUAGGAAGGAACACCAGUGGCGAAGGCGACCACCUGCACUGAUACUGACACUGA
rnacentral:rRNA from 1 species